AUUAUCAGAGCCAUCAAAGUACUAGCCAGAGGUCUUCAGCUACAUCAAACACGCAAGAUGAAGAGGCCCCUUCGUUCAAGGCAAGAAAAUAGUAGAAACUUUGAUCUGAAGAGGAAGAUGACGCAAGCGGCGACGAGAGUCCAUAAAGCCCAACGGAAAACCAAUCAUUUCUCCGACGAUUGCCCCAACUGCAGAUAAGUUCUUCUUCUCUCUCUGUCUCUCUUCAGCCACUCUUGUUUCUAUUUCUGUAUAUAAGCAUUAGUUGUAUGCUCUGGUAUUUAAUAUAUGUAUGAAAUCUCUCUCUCUCUCUCUCUCUCUGACCACUUUCCUAUUUGAAUUUGUCUUCUAAAAUUAGACUUUUUUGUUUUGGUAAUUAAAAAGAAAGUCCCCUACAUACAAGAUAUGGGGGUUUUAGGGCUUCCUUUGAACUACCGAGAGCACUUAGGCAAUAACCGGGUUGUUUGGUAGUGGGGGGUGUGGAUUUGAUAACCAUGAGUCGUAUGCUCUUCUUUUUUUUUAUGUAUGAACACUCUCUCUCUAUCUCUAUGUCUCACCACUUUGCAAUUUCAAUUUGUCUUAUAAAUUCAAACAUUCGUUAGGUAAUUAAAACGAAAGUCCCCUAAAGUAGAAGAGAUUGGGGUGUUAGGGCUUCCUUUUCUGGUCUUCUUUGUGUUUCGAUUGUGUUUUUGGGACUUGACUGUAUAGUGUUGUCGCACUAUACCUUCUUCGCCAGAUUGGAAACAGAUUUUGUUUUUUUACAAAACACAAAUGUAAGACUAAAGAUUUAUAAUUGGGAACAGAUUUUGGUUCUAUUUGGAUUUUUGGAAACAUAUUUUUAUUCAUAAUUGGAAACAGAUUUUUGUUCUAUUUGGUUUUUUGUAACCUGUUAUGUCUAACCCAUCGUCUAUUUUUUUCAUUUUUGAAAGAUUUUCAACCUACUAAUAACUUUAUAAUUGGAAACAGAUUUUUGGAAAUGGAUUUUUGAUCUAUUUGGUUUUUUGGAAGUAGAUUUUUGGAAACAGAUUCAAUAUUCAUAAUUGGAAACAGAUUCAAUAUUUAUAAUUGGAAACAGAUUGUUGGAAACAGAUUCAAUAUUCAUAAUUGGAAACAGAUUUUUGGAAACAGAUUCAAUAUUCAUAAAUAGAAAUAGAUUUUUGGAAUGUUUGGCUUUUUUUAACCUGCUAUCUCUAACCCAUCCUCUAUGUUUUUCAUUUCCGAAAGAUUUUCAGCCUACUAUUCUGUCAAGAUUUUCAAAAAAUUUUGAAAGAUUUGUUUAUAUCAAUAGACGAUCACCUGAAAAAUAGUUUAUAUUGUGUUUGAUUUUUUUUUUUUUCUGUUUCAUCACCUAAAAUACUAGUUUAUCAGCUCUAAAUGUUUUUUCAUACAACAGAGGAUAACCUCGAAGGUUUUUUGUUCUGUUUCAUGUUUUUCAUUCUGUCAAUAUUUUUUACAAAUAGAAGAUCACCUGUAAAAUACUAAUCAUUAUAUAAAUUUUAUUACAUUACAAAUAACUUUUAAUAUGUAUGAUUUGCACACACACAAAAAAAAAAAAUUGGCAUCAUUUGUUAGAGUGAAAUUUUAUUUUGUAGGGUGCAGCUUGUUGGGUCAUUUUUUGGGUUGUAGGGAGUUCCUAUCCUGUUUCACAAGGGGAACAGAUGUAGCACAGUAUUGUAAAGAGUAGUUGCAUGUGUAAUGGUCUCUGGUUGGUAUCCAAAAGUAAAAAAAAAAAUUUGUUUCCCAGGUUCAUAACCGUUUCUAAGGAGUAACAAGGGAACAAAACUGUAAUAUAUAUCGCAUUGGAAAAAUCACCAAUUAUGGAAAAAAUAUUGAAAACAUAAACGCCAAAAGAAAUAUAGUAUUUGUCUAAUGCAUACUGGUAUUCAUAAGAAUUUCGUCUUUAUCAUGUUCAUGUUUGUACCAGAACUUGGUGUUUAUUAUGUUAUUAUUUGUUUGAUUUGCUGUGUGUGAUGUCCAAAUAAAAAAUCUACUGCAUACAAAUUGUUUGAAAAAAAUCAGUAUGAAAUUACAAAAUUUGUGGACAUGAAAAAUGACGUCCAAUGACAAACUUGUUAACACAACAAACUUAUCCCAUAGCAUAAGUGUCACACCUAUUGAACUGUUAUUGUUGUGCUUCUUAUGUCACGAAACAAGUCAUCAAAGACUAUAUGGCCUCGUUUAUGUCGACUGCCACAUCAACACAACCAGGCCCUAUGUGUGCUUGUGGGUACGGGCACUAUGUGGUCAAGAUUUCUCGAUUUGCAAAAAAUCUAGGUCGUACGUACUACCAAUGCCCUCGUUGAGUAGUGAGUACAAGCACUUUCAUUUUUUUGGUGUAAUUCCCUUGUCAAACCGUCACUAAUACUUUUUUUAACCUCAGCCAUGUGUCAAUUGGAUUGGGUAGUGUGACGAAUAUGGGCAACAAACGCCUCCUGAGAAUGACAGAGACACUGUGCGUCGUUUUAAGGCUCGUUUGAUUGACAUUGAGCAGACUCAGUGUGCACUUAAAGUUGUGACUUGUUUUUUGUCUAUCAUCGUCAUUAUUUUGUUGUUCCGUAUGUAAUAUAUGUAUCUGUGUUUACAUGGUUACCCUACUACUCUAUCUAUACUAUUUGGUGGCCCAAAUAAUAGUUUUAUGUUAUCAGUUCAGAACAUGUAUUACUUAUCAUAUGUGUUCCCUGUGUUCAAUGUUCUUUGCGAAGUUGUGUAAAAAAGUUAUAUAUAAACAAAAGUGUGCAUGGCAAUAUCGUUGCAAAACUUAACAUUUAUAUAACUUGCGAGCAUGAAGAUCUUGGGUUUCUCUUGUGAUUUUAACUACGUGACACGUAAUACACACAUAAUUAUAUAUGGUGAACAUCUUUGAUAUAAAUAAUGACCAUACGUAAUACGCAAAUUAUAUUGUAAUUAUUAUAAUCGCAUGGCGUCAAAUCGAUCUGGCUCUUGUACCCCUUCUGUCAAAGGAAAGGGCCCAAAAUCUAAUCACAAAGCUAAUUGGGACUGGGAGAACACAUGUAUCUUCUUGAAACUUGUUCUUAAGGAAAUUGAAAUAGGUAACGGGCCGCACAUGUCAAUCACUUAGUGGAUUGAUGCAUGAGAUUAAACAACUAAAAAACAAGCACAAUCAACUGAAGUCGAAGUGGUGUGCAUGAUUGAAGCUGAUGGAUUGCCGGAAAGGCCCCACUGGAAUUGGGUUCGACCAAGAGAAUGGGUUGUUCAAUGCAUCAGAUGAAUGGUGGGCUAGAAUGGAGAAGGUUGAUUCCGUAUGUUACAAGUUUAGAAUGAAGCCAUUGGAUCAUGAAGAGUUGAUGCAUCACGUAUUCACUGGGCUACAACAACGAGUAAAAAUGCUUCGACGCUUGGCGAGAUGCGAAACCAAUUAGAGGUGGAAGGGGAGUCCGCCGUGCUGAAUUUUCUAUCGGCAACAACGGAUUGGGAGCAUCAGAAACAGCUGACUUGAUGAAAUCCGCAACCAUAAAUGCAUCAAGUAGUGGCAGCAAAAAGAGGCACUCAUCAAGCACAUCGAUGUAGAAAAAGCGAAUGACCGGGGCAGAAGCAUUGGCAACAAGCAUAGAUGAUUUAGUUAAUUCGGUUAAGACCCAAAGCAGGAAACUCACUGUAAACCAUGUUGUCGGCAACCAUAGUGUCACUAUGGCCCAAGCAGUUGGACGUCUUUAUGAAAUUUAGGGACUAGACCAAGCUAAUCCAUUGCUCUAUUUUGGAAUUUUGCUUAUGGAGGUGCCCAAUAAUAGGGAGAUAGUGAUGAGUAUUCCUUCAGACGAAGGCAUUAUCGGUUGGCUCCAAGUGAAGCAACAGAACAAAGAGAGCAUUGCAACUGUUCCAACUCUUGCGAGCAUAUUGUGCAAUGAAGGACUUCGCUUUUAAAUAUGUUUUUUUCUAUUUCCCAAAGACCUGUUUUUUUAACUAUGCUUUGUUUGGACCUGUUUUUAGUUGCAGUUUGUUUAAGGAGAAUUGCUUGAGUUGGUUAUAUAUCUACAAGAUUUACCUAUUUUUUUAA